rnacentral:misc_RNA from 1 species
GGUUGGAUCAUUACAGAGAGAAACAGGAUCUGUAUUAGUCCUGGCAAAACACCUUUUGUGAACUGUUUUUGUCCCUGGCAGUGGGGUGGGGAAGGGUGCACGCUCUUCUUUGCCUGUCAGCCCAGAACCCGUUUUUGCGGGUUCUACGGCCGUGGACAAGCUGCCAACCGUGUCUGCAAAACACCUUUCUGUUAACCUGCUGGCUGACAAUGCUGAACCAUUGCAACAAAUGAUUCAAACAACUUUUGGCAACGGAUCUCUUGGCUCUCGCAACGAUGAAGAACGCAGCGAAAUGCGAUAAGUAGUAUGAAUUGCAGAAUUCAGUGAAUCAUCAAAUCUUUGAACGCACAUUGCGCUCCCUGGCAGUCCAAGGAGCAUGCCCGUUUCAGAAUCAUAAACAAACCUCUCUCCCAAGCCCUGCGUGUCCUGCACGUGGGGCGGACGGGGAGGAGCUGGACGGAUUGAGUGGCGCCGCUCACCCAACUGUCUGAAACCCAUUGUCCCAGCCGCCGCUGUGGCCUGUGAGGCCUACGGUCACAAAGUGCAACAGCUCUUUCUUAGUCUCUUGCCCGCUUUGCUGUUGGAUCACGCCACACGCGCUUGGGAUCCCUUACGAUGUGGAGCCUGCUCCACCUCUCAACCUUGAUCUGAAAUCGGGCAAGAAAACCCGCUGAACUUAAGCAUAUCAAUAAGCGGAGGAAAAGAAACUAACAAGGAUUCCCCUAGUAACGGCGAGUGAAGCGGGAACAGCUCAAAUUUGAAAUCCCCCAGGUCCGCAUGCCUGCGAGAAUUGUAGUUUAGAGAAGCGUCUUCCAGGGUGGCAUGGGUAUAAGUCCUCUGGAAUGGGGCAUCAUAGAGGGUGAGAAUCCCGUUUAUGAUCCAUGGCCUCCACUUUGAUGUGAUACGCUUUCCAAGAGUCAGGUAGUUUGGGAUUGCUGCCUAAAAUGGGUGGUAAAUACCAUCUAAAGCUAAAUAUUGGCGAGAUACCGAUAGCGAACAAGUACCGUGAGGGAAAGAUGAAAAGAACUUUGAAAAGAGAGUUAAACAGUACGUGAAAUUGCCAAAAGGGAAACGCUUGGAGCCAGUAUUGCGUGCAGACAAUCAGCCUCCCAGCCGGGAAACCGGUCUGUGUGGUGCACUUGUCUGCAUGCAGGUCAACAUCAGUUUGACCUUGGGUAAAAAGCUGUGGGAAGGUAGCUUGGGCUUCGGCCCGAGUGUUACAGCCUGCAGUCAUGCCCAGGAUUAGACUGAGGUCUGCAGCGUCAAUCUGGGUACCCGGCUGCCUCCUGAACCCUGUCCCUAGUCAGCUCGCUGACUCGGGGUGGGGCUAGGGAGCUCGGUCGGCUCGCCACGCCAACGCUUGGGAUGUUGACGAAAUGGCUUCAAACGACCCGUCUUGAAACACGGACCAAGGAGUCUAACAUAUAUGCGAGUAUUUGGGUGGCAAACCCUUAUGCGAAAUGAAAGUGAACUUAGGUGGGAUCUUCGGUGCACCAUCGACCGGUCUGGAUUUUUUUGAUAGAUCUGAGUAAGAGCAUAUCUGUUGGGACCCGAAAGAUGGUGAACUAUGCCUGAAUAGGGUGAAGCCAGAGGAAACUCUGGUGGAGGCUCGUAGCGAUUCUGACGUGCAAAUCGAUCGUCAAAUUUGGGUAUAGGGGCGAAAGACUAAUCGAACCAUCUAGUAGCUGGUUCCCUC